GACGAAGGGGGCUAGCGUUGUUCGGAAUUACUGGGCGUAAAGCGCACGUAGUCGGCUUUGCAAGUCGGUUGUGAAAUCCCCGGGCUCAACCUGGGAACUGCAUCCGAGACUGCAUUGCUAGAGUAUGGGAGAGGAAAGCGGAAUUUCUGGUGUAGCAGUGAAAUGCGUAGAUAUCAGAAGGAACAUCAGUGGCGAAGGCGGCUUUCUGGACCAAUACUGACGAUCAGGUGCGAAAGCGUGGGGAGCAAACAGG
rnacentral:rRNA from 1 species